rnacentral:lncRNA from 1 species
UGAAAAAAUGGAAGCUAGGAGAUGUUAAGUGAGUCAUCCGAUGUCACACGGCUAGCAUAUGAUGGAGCCGGAUUUUGCCAUGAAGGAUGGGCUGUUCAGGAGCUUGCCACACUAGCCUUCAGCCUGCAUUUACUGCCAACAGCAGGAGUGGAGGGAAACAGAGGCAUUCCUCCCCCAACGGCUGGCAUUUGAUUGCAGCCGGAAGGACUGGAGUCUAAUUUUGAAUUGUGUCUCUCUGGACAGUGGGGUGGCCAAACGCCAAACAAACAGGAAGAGGGCAUGGAAGGACAAGAUGAGAUCGUGGAGGGGAAGCACAGUGGAGGAGCGUCAGAGCUAUGUCUUAGCCCAGCUCUACCCUAGACUCUGUGUGACCUUGAUCAGGACACCUUCCUGUUGAGCCUGGGUUGGCUUUUCUGUACAAUGAGAAAGAAAGUGAGGCUUUGUUUCUGAUGUUUCAUGGAUGGUUUAAAACACUGCAGAGAGGGUGAUUGUGCUGAGGUUCUCCCUACCCAGACCGAAGAACUAGGGUUAGGAGUAGUGGACAGGCCAUGCCUAUAUCGUCUUCAGCUGGAAGAGAAUCACACACACACACAGUAAGGCUUCAAGAAGGUUAGUUGAAUGAUAGAAUAAAUGAGUGAAUGAAUGAGUCCCACUUCUCACUACUAAGAGAACUUCACCUUGGGUCCUACAACAGUGAACAUCACCAGAUAAAAGGAAAGAGAGAAGAAGCACUCUGGACCCUCAUAAAAUCCACACAUGAAUUGGCAAUGCCCAACUAAUGCAUGGGAUGUGCAACAGAGGAUGAGACGGUUGGAUGGCGUCACCAACUCAAUGGACAUGAGUUUGAGCAAGCUCUGGGAGUCAGUGAUGGACAGGGAAGCCUGGUGUACUUCAAUCCAUGGGGUCGUAAGGAGUUGGACAUGACUGAGCAACUGAACAGAACUGAACUGAUGCAUAGAUGUUAUUGAUUCACUUGUCAAAGAAGGCAUUAAUGACCAUCUUCAGGUCUGAGCAUGUAUGGGGUGGAAGAGGGCACUAGGGGACUCGAGUCCCUGCCCGGAUCAUCUGUGCAACCAAAGAAUUUCACCAAGAACAGAAAAGGGAGUGAUGAGGAUUAGGUGAUAUAGAUUUUUGUCUCUAAGAAUCUGUAGGUAAAAGAUUCUCUCUCUCUAGCAUCUGAGGUUGGAAGUGGGGAAGGUCUCUGUAUAGGGUGAAUUCCUGGGAUGGGAGAUCAGAAUUUUUUUUUUUUCUUCAAAGCCUCCUUGGAGAAGUGAAUUUCUGUUUAGGGGGAAGGACCUCUGUCCCGAGUCCCAUCAUUGUUUGGAGGAUCUGGGUUUGGGAGAGGGCUCUGUGGAAAGGUUUUC